UACGUAGGGUGCAAGCGUUGUCCGGAAUUAUUGGGCGUAAAGAGCUCGUAGGCGGUCUGUCGCGUCUGCUGUGAAAACUCAGGGCUUAACCCUGAGCUUGCAGUGGGUACGGGCAGACUAGAGUGCGGUAGGGGAGACUGGAAUUCCUGGUGUAGCGGUGAAAUGCGCAGAUAUCAGGAGGAACACCGGUGGCGAAGGCGGGUCUCUGGGCCGAAAACUGACGCU
rnacentral:rRNA from 1 species